UGCCAGCAGCCGCGGUAAGACGAAGGUGGCAACCGUUGUUCGGAAUCACUGGGCAUAAAGCGCACGUAGGCGGACAUGUAAGUCGGGUGUGAAAUCCCUCGGCCUAACCGAGGAACUGCGCCCGAUACUGUGUGUCUUGAGGGCAGGAGGGGAUCGUGGAAUUCCUGGUGGAGCGGUGAAAUGCGUUGAUAUCAGGAGGAACACCGGCGGCGAAGGCGACGAUCUGGCCUGCUUCUGACGCUGAGGUGCGAAAGCUAGGGGAGCAAACGGGAUUAGAUA
rnacentral:rRNA from 1 species